ACACACCCCAUUCUGACACCCCAUCCUGACACACACACCAUCCUGACACACCCCAUCCUGUUGGAGCAGAGUGUAUGCAGGGCAGAGGGGCUGUGGGGAGUGUAGCUAUCCUGGUAAUUGUUACUCUCUCACUCCCUCAACUCCCUUGAGAAAGGAUCCAUUUUUUUGCAUUGGAGGCAAAUGUAGUCAAGUGGGUCUUAAUUCCCAGACAGUAAAAGGCAGGGAUUCACAGCGGCUCUACCAGAAGAUCUGCUGCCCGGAAGAUAAGGUUUGACCUUUGAGUUUUGUCAGCUGAUGGAUGGUGCUGAAAGCAGAUACCCAGGGAGCUGUGCGGAGGGGAGGGCAGGCAAGCUGCUCUCCUGGCCCCAGAGUGCCUGUGAUCUGGAAUGUGUGACGAGCAUCUGCACCUGAGAGCAUCAUGCACAUUUCGUGUUCCUUGGCCACACAGAAAGCCAGACCACAGAGCUUGCCCGGUGGGGAAGCAAGACUGCGCAGCGUGCCCCUGGGACACAGGGUGGGCGUGGUCUCUGGCCCAGCGUAAUUACUGCGGGAGGUUCUGCUGAUGCAGAAGCUGAUUCACAAAAGGGGCCAGCUUCGCAAAGCGGCCCAGAGAGCCUGAUAGAUUCCAGAAUUGGGAAAUAAGCACGGGACAUACCUUGUUCCUGGAUUUUUGUAUGUGUCCUGUAGGAAGGCGACCUCUGGUCCCUAAGGAUGACUUUGAGCCAAGUGCAAGGUGGACCCCAGUUCCUGCAGCGCCACACUGCCACCUAGUGGCUACUGCUUGGUGCCGCACAGGCAGCUUGAAAAGGCCAUGCCAAGUCUUUCAGCAGUUUCUUCGAAAACCCUGACCGGUGGGGCGAUGCCAGGCUGGAGGCUUGAGGGGCACCACCUGGAGAAAGUUUUCCCUUGCACAGUUUGGUUAUGAAGCACCUCUGGUCAUUCAAAAGCUGCCCCCAAACAGCAUUCGCAGCAACAAGGAAGCCUGUGGAGCCAUGGCCUGGGGUGCUAGCCUGGCUUCCAACCCAGCUUUCAGCCCAGCCCUUACACCACACAGACCUGGGCAGGGUCUGAGGCUGCAGCGGGGAGGGCUGAAACCAACUACAGGUAAUCAAUCCCAUCAAGCCCUGUUCAAAGGGAACACCAGUGUUACCAAAUGAAGCCUGUCCACUCAGCCAUAAAUACAGCCAUUUAGAAAACACAAUGCGAAGAGAAGUCUUCAGGAAUGAAACAGGCAAUAUGUCUGCAGAUGAGGAGAACAGCUUUUUGGCUUUUGGUGUGGCCAAGCACUUAAUCCCAGUGGAUUGGGACAGUGGGGAAGAAAAAGCUGUGCUGGGUGGGACUUUGCCAUGGAUGCUUUUAAAUUCUACUCCUUAAAACAAUGCACCUGAGUGCCAACCGAUUCAGAACCGCUGUUCCCACAGUGCAGGAGGGACGAAGCCCAGUGCCUGCUGUGUGAAUUUGGUGGUGCAGUCAUGUGAGAAGCCGCUAUGCAGAGCCAGCAGCUGCGUGGCAGGGGCUCUCUUUGUGUCUGUGGUGUGAGUGCCUUAGAGGGAGAAGGCAUGGGCACCCAGGAGGUCUGUACACACUCAAGGGGCAGGGCCACCUGAGCUCAGAGCUGCAGGGCCUCCCGACCCUGCCUGGCUCUGGCCCUGGAGAAAACUUCCCGACGUAGUGAGCGAGAAAGAUUGGCCUGCAUCACGCUGCAGUGAGUGACCCACGCCUGGCCGUCAGAAACACCAGAUGUCUGUCUUGGUUGUAUUUUAUGAGGUUUGGGGCAAGAAGUUUGAGAGAUGCAGACUGGCUCACAAAAACGUAUUUAGCAAAUUUAAUUUAAGUGAAUUAACAUGCUCUGUCUUAACCACCAGAAUGACUUACCAGCCUUCGGGAUUUUGGCGGGGGGGGGAGGUGUGUGUAUUUAAGCAUUUGACAGACUCACGUGGGCAGGAUCCUCACCGCUUGGUGGUCAUGGAUGAGGUGAUGGUGCAAUCCCGGUCAUUGCCCAAAGCGUACACACUGGUGCAGCAAUGGCUUUGAGACCAUCCUUCAACUCCAGUCGCAGGUGGAAAGCUGUCCAACCAUUUGGUUUCCACCUGUGCUUAACUCCAUAACUCUUUUCUUGCUAGGGGGAUACAAGUCUCCCACGCAGGGAGAGCCAAGCUCUCAAGGCUCCUUGGCACAGAGGAGGUCAGUGAGUGAGUUGACUUCCAGAGUCUCCUCUGCCUACUGCAAAUUGGCCAUGGAAGGGGCCACCAUUCUUCACGGACAGUGGAAAGCUGGCUCUAAUCUCACCACCUGCUCAUAUGGGUGGCUGGCACCCAUUUGCUCCUUUGUUAUGUGGAGGUGCUGCCAUCUGCCUUGUUUACCGCAUAAGCCAACUCCAGCACACCCCAGCCCUGCAGAGCAGAGGCACUGCGCUCCCAUGUCCAGGGGAGGGGCUGCUCAAGCCCCCAGGCUGGAAGGGUGGGCGCAGGGACCUGGGACCUGCUGAGUCAGGGGAGAGGGGGUCUCUAGACUUCUCGCAUGGACGAUCACCCAAUCCCAGCACACACAGAAAAGGGGUCCAGCCUGCAAAUGCCACCCCCCAACUUGCCUCCCUGCCUGGAAUCCCCAGCCUGAGAGGGACAGGACUCCAGUUAAAUCAAGUAGGUAUCGCAGAAAGUCCCUCAAGUUUAUUUUAAUAGGCUUUAGAGUUAAACACAAAUAUGCAACACAAACUGUAGGGGCAGGAAAAGGGAUGUUGUGACCCCAUUCAUUCAACCAAUCACUGCCAGGGCUGUCCCCACCCCCAUCCGUUCUAACAUCCAGCCAGAACCUUGUCCCAGCAUGUGACGGGCAGGGGCGGGGGUGGGGGGCAGGCCGCCCAUGCAUCCCCCAAAUGCCACAAAAAGACAGGUGGUACCUGGUGGGUCUGUCUGAGGCAGGUGCAGAGGCUGCAGCAUCUGAACAUGGAAAUGUCGCUCCAGCCUGGAAAGGGACAGAGGCAGACACCACGUGGAGAGAAAUCUGAAUUCUGAUGGUGUGGGGGGUGGAAGAAUCGGGGAGGAGGCACAGCAGCUGCUGCCCCAUGUGUUUCUGGAGCAGUGAUGGCUCAGAUGAGGAGCCAUACACGAUGGGUGUCCAUAACGAAAGAAAAAGCAAAAAAAAAAAAAAAA